CGCCAUGAAUGUCUUUUUUUUUUUCUUCACUAAUACUAUUAAAAGUUCAAUAUUUGAAGGUACAUAAUAAUGUGUCUAUCAUAAUCUAUAGACAAAAUAAAACUCUUUAAUUGAUCGACUUAAUUAAGUAAAGAAAGAACAAUAUAACGUUGCUUAAUUAUUCAUCAAUUUAUGAAUCAUCGAACAACGAUGUCAAGCAAUUUAUAAGGAAAAGAAAAGAAAAGAG